ensembl:lncRNA
AGGACACGCCCCUUUGAGCUGCGUGCUACAGCGAGGCUAAGCUAGUGGGGGAAAAGUUUCAGUGCAUUCCGUUGAUGUCGACGGUGUGAAAACGGAAGCAAGUAUGCCGGCUCACUGUGCUGCAUACAGUUACACACUGCGUCGUACGAUUGAGACAAGGAAACUUGGAAUGACUUUUCAUAGGUUUCCCAGAGACUAUGGGUUGAGGAGGAAUUGGAAGUUUGUCGGCUUAGACCUGGUGUCAUUCCAUCAUUGUUAAACUUCCCGGCUCAUCUUGGAAGAGUACGUGCCAGAAAGACCACAACCAAGCAGCCUUGAGAUCUUAGACAGCGUCUCCCUGAGACCAAAGAACUACAGACUCUUCACAACCU